rnacentral:rRNA from 1 species
UACAGAGGUCUCGAGCGUUAGGCGGAAUCACUGGGCUUAAAAGCGUGUGUAGGCGGAUCGGUAAGUACCUUGUGAAAUCCCACAGCUUAACUGUGGAACUGCUUGGUAUACUGCCAGUCUUGAGCCAGCUAGGGGCUACCGGAACAAAUGGUGGAGCGGUGAAAUGCGUAGAUAUCAUUUGGAACGCCAAUGGUGAAAACAGGUAGCUGGGGCUGUGCUGACGCUGAGACACGAAAGCCAGGGGAGCAAACGGG